rnacentral:rRNA from 1 species
CCCAAUGGGGGGCUGACUACUACAUGCAGUCGAGCGAAUGAUGAGGAGCUUGCUCCUCUGAUUUAGCGGCGGACGGGUGAGUAACACGUGGGUAAUCUGCCUGUAAGACGGGGAUAACUCCGGGAAACCGGGGCUAAUACCGGAUAAUAAGAGAAGAAGCAUUUCUUCUUUUUGAAAGUCGGUUUCGGCUGACACUUACAGAUGAGCCCGCGGCGCAUUAGCUAGUUGGUGAGGUAACGGCUCACCAAGGCGACGAUGCGUAGCCGACCUGAGAGGGUGAUCGGCCACACUGGGACUGAGACACGGCCCAGACUCCUACGGGAGGCAGCAGUAGGGAAUCUUCGGCAAUGGGCGAAAGCCUGACCGAGCAACGCCGCGUGAGCGAUGAAGGCCUUCGGGUCGUAAAGCUCUGUUGUUAGAGAAGAACAAGUACGAGAGUAACUGCUCGUACCUUGACGGUACCUAACCAGAAAGCCACGGCUAACUACGUGCCAGCAGCCGCGGUAAUACGUAGGUGGCAAGCGUUAUCCGGAAUUAUUGGGCGUAAAGCGCGCGCAGGCGGUCUCUUAAGUCUGAUGUGAAAGCCCACGGCUCAACCGUGGAGGGUCAUUGGAAACUGGGAGACUUGAGUGCAGGAGAGAAAAGUGGAAUUCCACGUGUAGCGGUGAAAUGCGUAGAGAUGUGGAGGAACACCAGUGGCGAAGGCGGCUUUUUGGCCUGUAACUGACGCUGAGGCGCGAAAGCGUGGGGAGCAAACAGGAUUAGAUACCCUGGUAGUCCACGCCGUAAACGAUGAGUGCUAGGUGGUUGGGGGGUUCCACCCUCAGUGCUGAAGUUAACACAUUAAGCACUCCGCCUGGGGAGUACGACCGCAAGGUUGAAACUCAAAGGAAUUGACGGGGGCCCGCACAAGCAGUGGUAGCAUGUGGUUUAAUUCGAAGCAACGCGAAGAACCUUACCAGGUCUUGACAUCCUUUGACCACUCUAGAGAUAGAGCUUUCUCCUUCGGGGCGACAAAGUGACACGUGGUGGCAUGGCUUGUCGUCAGCUCGUGUCGUGAGAUGAUA